rnacentral:misc_RNA from 1 species
AACCCCAGCAUUGAACCAGGACAUUUCUCCGUCUUCACCAUCCAUAAGUUCUGUUCGUCCCCAGUACAUGUUGUUGUAGUCUUCUUCGCUUUCUGGUUUGUAGUUUCCGUUGUAUUCUGUUACCUGCAGAUCAUGUUCAGAUGAGACUUCUUUAUGCUGUUCAGAAGUGUCAUGCUCCGGAAUGGAGUCUAACAUACCCUUUCUAUGGUGCUUCUUCCUGUGAUUUAGCUGCAAAGUCUUAGUUAAGAUGAUAGGUGUCCCAGAGAAGCAACCGGUAACAUAGACUUCAAUUGUCGGUGACAAUGAUUCAGAACCCACAAUAUGUUUUCCUUUCAGAAAUCCCGUGCCAGCACUCAUAACUGAUUCACAGUUCAUGCUCCAUCUCCUAAGACAGUUUUGAGAAUCAUUGAUGUUGGCCAUCUCCAAAGUCCCAGAGAGAAAAAGAUCAUCUUUAUAUGAAACCUCAAAGUUCACACUCCCAGUCAAUCUUAUACUAUCUGUGCUCACAAAUGUAGCUUCUUCAGCUUUCUUAUCAACACGGUCCCUUCGAAGAAAGCAAGAGGCUCCUUCCGAGUGCACUGAACAUCUUAUACCAUUAACUUCAAGCAGUGUAUCGGGGCUUAAAGGGAUAUGGUUAAGCGUAAGAAUUUCUGGGGUUGAAUCAUCGACCAUAAAAUUGCUGAUUCUGAUGUAAAAUACUCUAAUAUCAAACCAAGAUAACGAUAAUUUCCCACAAGAUUGGUAAGAGGGGUGCCUUAUAAUUUGAAGACCAGGAUCAGCUGGUUUUCCA